GCCUUCGUGGUGUAGUGGUCAGCACGCUCGGCGCGUAUUCGAGAGGUCCGUGGUUCGAGUCCCCGCGAGCGCA
rnacentral:tRNA from 1 species